rnacentral:lncRNA from 1 species
CUAUUUCUUGGGCUGCUCCUGUGGCAUAUGGAGGUUCCCAGGCUAGGGGUCGAAUCGGAGCUGUAGCCACUGGCCUACGCCAGAGCCACAGCAACUCAGGAUCCGAGCCACGUCUGCAACCUACACCACAGCUCACGGCAACGCCGGAUCGUUAACCCACUGAGCAAGGGCAGGGACUGAACCCGCAACCUCAUGGUUCCUAGUUGGAUUCGUUAACCACUGUGCCACGACGGGAACUCCAGCUUUUUGUUUUUUCUUUUUAGGGCCACACUCACAGCAUAUCGAAGUUCCCAAGCUAGAGGUCAAAUCAGAGCUGUAGCUGCUAGCCUUCAUCACAGCCACAGCAAUGCCAGAUCCAAGCAGUGUCUGGGACCUACACCAUAGCUCACAGCAACGCCGGAUCCUUAACCUACUGAGUGAGGCCAGGGAUCGAAACCACAGCCUCAUGGAUACUCGUCGGAUUCAUUUCCGUUGUGCCACAACAGGAACUCCAGGACAGUUUUUAAAUAACUGCUUUAUGGGCACCUGUCAGGAAUGCAUGUAAUCCGGUUGGCAGGUAUAGGGUCUUUUUGUGCCCAUUAGAUGAAACUGGUUAUUGUAUUUUCCAAAUAGUCUGUAUUCCUACUAAUAGCUUCUAUGAUUGGUCUAUUAAGUACUGAUAUAUCAAAAUCUCCCACCAUGUUGGUAGAUUCGUUGAUUCUUAUAGUUCUGGUAGUUUUUACCUUAUGUAUUAAAUUAAUUAAUUUAUUGCUUUUUAGGGCCACAUGUGCUAGGCUAGUGGUCGAACUGGAGCUACAGCUGCCGGCCUACACCACAGCCACAGCGACAUGAGAUCUGAACCACAUCUGGGACUUACACCAUCGCUCAGAGCAGGGGCUGCAGGCACCUCCCCUUCACAUUUAUAACUUAUAUCUUUUUUUUUUUUUUUUUUUUUUUUUUUUCCCCCUGUACAGCAAGGGGGUCAGGUCAUCCUUAGAUGUAUACAUUGCAGUUACAGUUUUUCCCCCACCCUUUCUUCUGUUGCGACAUGAGUAUCUAGACAUAGUUCUCAAUGCUAUUCAGCAGGAUAUAACUUAUAUCGUGAUAUUCCCCCUUUCCUCCUCGGGGCAGGAGGAAAUACUGCCUCCUGGGCUGUAGUUAAGUGGACCAAACGAAAGAUGCUGUGGUCACUUGUGAGAACUGCCACUCCCAAGGGUGGGCCAGUGAGCCCUGAGGGAACUCUGGAAAGAAACAAAGAAGAAGGGCCCUCAGCUGAGGUGCAUAUCAAAGGAGUGAUUCCAGCAAGCCCAGACCUUGCUAUCUUCCCAUGGAAACUGGUUUUCUGUAAAGCUGGUUAUCUGUAAAUCUUUUGUUCCUAACCCCUUCCCUUUGCUGCAAAAACUCUUAUAUCCUAUCUACCCCCCUCCACCUCCUUGGAGUGGUUUCUCAGGGCUACCUGAGAUGCUAUUUCCUGGGCUUAAGUCCUAAUUUCAUCUCAAAUAAAACUUAACUCUCAACUUUCAGGUUGUACAAUUUUUUAGUCGACACAUGGAACAUACACUUUUGUUUUAAGAAAAGUAUUCCAGGAGUUCCCGUUGUGUCUCAGCAGAAACAAAUCUGACUAGUAUCCAUGAGGAUGCGGAUUUGAUCCAUGGCCACAGCUCAGCAUUACCAUGAGCUGUGGUGAAGGUCGCAGUUAGGGCUCAGAUCCUGAGUGGCUGUGGCUGUGGCUGUGGCUGUGGCUUAGGCUGGCCGCUGUAGUUCCAAUUCUGAGAACUGCAUACGCUGUGGGUGCGGCCCUUAAAAGCAAAAAAAAAAGUAUUCCUUGUUUAUCUGAAAUUCAAAUAUAAUUAAAUGUCUUUUAUUUUUAUUUGCUAAAUUGCACAUCCUACUUCUACUAUUGGUCCAAUGUUCUAGCCUUCUCUCAGCCAGAAAAGGGAUGGAGGAGAUUUGAGGAGCAUAUGUCCAGUUCUAUCAAGGGCAGAAUCUGGUUGUGUCCCAUAUUACUUCUGCUUAGAGCCUAUGGCCAUAGCUUAGUCACAUGGCCAGAGAGAACUUUAAGGAGGCUGGGAAAUUUAGCCCUUACUGGGCCGGUAUUUGGCCACUGAAACCUUAUUUCCGUGGAAGAAGGGAAGAAUGAAAACAAACAAACAAGCAGUUCCAUAGACAGGAAAUAUUGUUAGCGACAACAAUCUUUGGAUAUAGUCUUGAUAGGAUUAUCAUUUGAGGGACCCAGUUCCCUUCUCCAUUCCUACCAAGGAAUGCGGAUGAGACCUAAAUGGAGCCACUUAGACACUUUCUGAAACUUGAAUCUCAAGCAAAAUGAUACAGAAACUUCAAAUAGUUGAAGUUCAUUCAUCCUGAUUGUGGUGACCUGAAAAAACUAAACAUACGGCUUUACACUACUUAGAGCUUUAGAUUUUUCUGGUUCCUGAGCCUGCCCUUAGUCUACCUCCAUGGAUUCAGAAUUUUUCUUGGAUUCUGUAAAUUAUCUCCCGCCCCACCCCGCCCCUGCCCCACUUAAGUUGUUCAGAAGUGGUUUGUGCAACUAGCAAUUAUAGAAUUUUAACUGAUCAAAAGUCAAGUCCAGGAAUUCUCUUGCGGUGCAACUGGCUAAGGAUCUAAUGUUGUCACUGCAGUGGCCUCAGUUGCUACUGUGGCAUGGGUUCAAUCCAUGGCCCCAGAAUUUCCACAUGCUGCAAGUGCAGGAAAAAAAAAGCCUAGAUGCAUUCCAAGGUGAGAAGGUUAAAAAAACCGGUUCCCCACCCUUAAGGAUCUCCGUCUAACCAAAUUUUCACUUCUGCAUUACAGUUUUCAGACUUAAGAUAACUACAGCAUCAAAAAUAGUAGCUUAAAAUGGAAACAGAGAAAUGAAAAUUAAACGUGACUAUUCUAACAGUUGCACUUACUUUGUGCCUACUAGUGGAGAUUACUGAUUAAUCAGUAAAACAACUCUGCUUUGUUAAUAUUUUUUGUGUCUUAUCUUACUAAAUCCUCACAGCAGCAAUUAUAGGAAUUAUUAUUAGUCUUCACCUUGCAGAUGGGGAAUAUGGGGCUUUUAAAGUUAAGUGACUUUCCAAAAGUCACAUAACUGAUCCUGGUUGUACCCAGCAUUCAAAACCAAGUUUAAUUUCAGCACUCGAGCUCUUAACCAUUGUACUAUGCCCACAGCCAGACCUUCAAAAAUAAAAAUAUUUGCUGCUUAAACUGUCUUUUAAUUUUUUAACAUUUAUUUUUUAUUUAUCUGAGGCUAUAUCUUACCAGAAAAUUUCACACAUACAGAAACAGAAAGAAUGGUACAAUAAAGACUCGUGGUACCCGUCACCUAAUUUCAACAAUUAUUCCCAUCUCACCAUUCUUUUUUCAUCAAUUCUCUCUUCAAAUUCACCCUUUAUUUUCCUUUAUUCUGAAGUAUAUUUUAUUUAUUUAUUCUUUUUUCUAGAAGCUGUCAGUUAGUUCAAGAUAUCCGAUUAAAUUUGGCUCAAGAAAAAAAAUUUUUUUUUUUUCCUGUCUCUUCUAGGGCUGCACACGUGUCAUAUGGAGGUUCCCAGGCUAGGGCGCAGUGGGUCAAAGGAUUGGGCAUUGCUGCAUCUGUGGCACGGGUCAAGCUGUGGGGUGAAUUCAGUCCCUGGCCUGAGAACGUCCAUGCGCCACAGAUGCAGCCAUUAAAAAGAAAGAAAGAAAAAGAAACGAUUUUUUUAAAAGGGCUUGGCAUUUCAAACACUAAAAUUAGGGGCUGCUUUUUCCUUUUGUUUACACCUCUGAGGUUUCAUCUUAUUCUAAUCAACAGCACAAUCCCAAUAUACAUUCAGAAAAGUCCACUAAGCUUUACCCUCCACUGAACUUUAUAAAGUAAUUCUGCUAAAUAUAUAGAAUUUCCUAGGCAGUUUUCUUUUUCUUUUUUUGGCCGUGUCCAUGGCAUGUGGAAGUUACUAGGCCAGAGAUGGACUCUACGCACAGCAGUGACAAUGCUGGAUCCUUAACAACUAGGCCUCCAGGGAAGUACCUUAGUUUAUUUUAAAAUGAAUGAUUUUCAGGGACUCAUAUUUAAAUAAUACGUCCAGGCAUUUUUUCAUGUUCAUGAAUAUCACACAUAAUGCACACAUAUUCUUAUCUUCUGUCCUUACUCAAGAAGACCCCAGGUGGUCCAAUAAAUACCAAAGACAGCAGAGCAAGAAAAGGAAAACAUUUCCAGAAACAGCAAAAGACAAGAAUCAGGUCCUGGGUGAUACAUCCGCUAAACUAAAAGCACGCAGUCCCUGUCCUACACAGACCAAUGGGCUUGUUUGAUUCCCAUGUUAUAUUAGACGCAAUCGAUAACUGUUUUAAUUGAUGUGUUAAGGUCCAUGUGUAUUUUUCAAAUAAAUGGGUUUAAUUAUAAUUGCUGGGUCAACACAGCUUGCUCCAGCCUUGACUAGAACUCGAAUUAGGAAAUGAAAAGAAGGCUCGCUGACUCACUGAAGAGUCCGCUGAGUACAUUUUCGUUUUGCUCUCUGCCAAAGUUGGAACAAGCAACAAACUAACCAAGAAGGGCGUGGCGGUGAAUCCGUAUCGAUGGAUGAAUACGUGAACAUCGCAGGGGGAGGUGUAGGGACAGGCCAACUCUGUUCCAUCAGAUUGGGCUGAAAUAAGGAGCUUUAAAAUGUGUCGAUGUUUCUGGAGAGGCACUGGAAGGGGCUAAUGGAAUCAUGUUACACUCACCCCGGAUGUAGCUGCUUCAAUGUGCCUGGAUCCAAGUAUUAUGCAGACAAACGGUGUGGACCUAGCAGAGCUCCAGGCUCGCAUGAGGAUCUUAGUAAAUGCUCGUGGAAGGAGGAGGGACGGGGGACGGGAGGGAGGAAGUGAAAGAGGAAAAGAGGGAGGAAGGAGAGAAGGAGGGGAGACCAGCCCAGGAAGCUGUUUUUACUACCUCAUUGUAACAACCGAGGAAGCAGAAAUAGGCAAUAGUCUUUUCGAGGUGUGGUUAAAACAUUGAACGUAGGCCUAAUUGUGCAAGUGGAAGAAGAAUUUAAUAAAAACCAUGGUAUGGUAAUAACUGAAAGGCUGACGGUGCAUGAGUUUGAAAAAGGAACGUUAAGUGUUUGGUUUUUAUGUUUUUGUUUUUAACUCAGGCCAUCAGGAAUUAACUUUGUAACAUAUUUAACAUUCCAGAAUAUCAAGUCAUUGACUUGUUCUUGUAGACACCCCAUUUUCCAAGUCCUUUGAGUUAAAUCACAAAUAUAUUUAAACACAAGGACACUACCAAAUAAUAGGAAGCAAAUGUUCCAUUAAGGAAUGCAAUGCAGAAGGCAUGUUUAAAGCAACC